AACAUCGCGCACCUGCGGGAACCUGCGGAAGGAUCAUCAUUGAAACAAACUUUGCCAAGAAGUUUUGGGGAGGGAGAGGGGAGGAGUGUGGAAAAAAACUCUGCAUCUCUGAGCCUUGACCAAGACAGGCUUCUUGGACAAACAACCAAUCUUCAUGACUAGGAAAAAUAUUGACAACAGUGAUUUGGUUGGGGGGACUGUUGACAAACAAGUUCUUGUCUGACAAGCAGCUUUGAUUUG
rnacentral:misc_RNA from 1 species